rfam:Prochlorococcus phage P-SSM7, complete genome.
GGGACUAUCGCAUAUUGGUUAAUGCCCACUGCUUAUAACGGUGUGAAACGGGUUCAAUUCCCGUUAGUCCUA